rnacentral:rRNA from 1 species
UACGUAGGGGGCAAGCGUUGUCCGGAUUUAUUGGGCGUAAAGAGCGUGUAGGCGGUCAGGUAGGUCCGUUGUGAAAACUCGAGGCUCAACCUCGAGACGCCGAUGGAAACCAUCUGACUAGAGUCCGGAAGAGGAGAGUGGAAUUCCCAGUGUAGCGGUGAAAUGACGUAGAUAUUGGGAGGAACACCGGUGGCGAAGGCGGCCCCCGGACCGGUACUGACGCUGAGGCGCGAAGGCUAGGGGAGC